rnacentral:lncRNA from 1 species
AAUGUUCUUAGAUGCCUGGUCAUACCUCACAGUUGCAAACCUGGCCAAUCCUUCCUCAUAUAGAUAGAUGACAAGUGGAUCAUAGGAUGUAACCAGAACAUACAGGCGCACAUCGAAUUUGAAAUCGUCUAUGAGCAGGGGGUUGUUGAUGUAACGAGAAACCAGGAUGUUGUCUUCCAGUACAAUCUGAUUUGGAUUGUUUAUCAGGUAGACACCUCGACCUCUGGAAGAGGCCACAGGCUUCACUAUCCAUGGGCCUCUGUCCUUAGAAUAGGUACUGCAGAACUCCUGGUACUCAGCUGGGAGGAUGAAGGUCUGAGGUAAGAUAUGGAACGUCUUGAAUCCAUGGGACAGCUGCAUACGACUGAC